UGGGGAAUAUUGCACAAUGGGCGAAAGCCUGAUGCAGCAACGCCGCGUGAGUGAUGAAGGUCUUCGGAUUGUAAAGCUCUGUCUUUUGGGACGAUAAUGACGGUACCAAAGGAGGAAGCCACGGCUAACUACGUGCCAGCAGCCGCGGUAAUACGUAGGUGGCGAGCGUUGUCCGGAUUUACUGGGCGUAAAGGGUGCGUAGGCGGAUGUUUAAGUGAGAUGUGAAAUACCCGGGCUUAAC
rnacentral:rRNA from 1 species